ensembl:snoRNA SNORA70 Small nucleolar RNA SNORA70
CAUCUGUAAAUUGGACAUAACAACCAGAAUGAUCAGAAAGAAUUUUUAUGCAAAUCAGAGCAGAUAAGCUGCAAACAGCAGCCUCCUAGGUAAGUGUAUGCAGCCUGUUGCCUGUACAGGUUGCCGUAAGGGACCUUGGAAACAGUC